rnacentral:rRNA from 1 species
GACGAACGCUGGCGGCGUGCCUAAUACAUGCAAGUAGAACGCUGAAGGAGGAGCUUGCUUCUCUGGAUGAGUUGCGAACGGGUGAGUAACGCGUAGGUAACCUGCCUGGUAGCGGGGGAUAACUAUUGGAAACGAUAGCUAAUACCGCAUAACAGUAGAUAUCGCAUGAUAUCUACUUGAAAGGUGCAAUUGCAUCACUACCAGAUGGACCUGCGUUGUAUUAGCUAGUUGGUGAGGUAACGGCUCACCAAGGCGACGAUACAUAGCCGACCUGAGAGGGUGAUCGGCCACACUGGGACUGAGACACGGCCCAGACUCCUACGGGAGGCAGCAGUAGGGAAUCUUCGGCAAGAGAUGGAAGUCUGACCGAGCAACGCCGCGUGAGUGAAGAAGGUUUUCGGAUCGUAAAGCUCUGUUGUAAGAGAAGAACGAGUGUGAGAGUGGAAAGUUCACACUGUGACGGUAUCUUACCAGAAAGGGACGGCUAACUACGUG